rnacentral:rRNA from 1 species
GACGAACGCUGGCGGCGUGCUUAACACAUGCAAGUCGAACGGGCCCGCCCCUGUCUUUGGGGGUGGGUUGAGUGGCGAACGGGUGAGUAUCACGUGAGUAACCUGCCCCCUGCUCCUGGAUAACUGCUUGAAAGGGCGGCUAAUACGGGGUGUGCCGGCUGGUCCGCAUGGGCCUGGUCGGGAUAGUUUCAUCUUCGGGUGUUUCGGUGGGGGAUGGGCUCGCGGCCUAUCAGCUUGUUGGUGGGGUGAUGGCCCACCAAGGCGGUGACGGGUAGCCGGCCUGAGAGGGUGGGCGGCCACACUGGGACUGAGACACGGCCCAGACUCCUGCGGGAGGCAGCAGUGGGGGGUAUUGCACAAUGGGCGGAAGCCUGAUGCAGCGACGUCGCGUGAGGGAUGGAGGCCUUCGGGUUGUGAACCUCUUUCUCCGGUGGUGAAGGCCCUGUCCGUUGCGGCGGGGUUGACGGUAGCCGGGUAUGAAGCGCCGGCUAACUACGUG